rnacentral:misc_RNA from 1 species
AAAAAAUUAUCCAAAAAAAAUAAAAAUAAAAUUCUCUCAAUAUUUUCCAAGAUGAUAACCAUAGCAACAGAACAAAAAUUCAUAGUAAAAGUUGAAUCUCCAACAUCUGAAUUUCUUGUUGAAAUAAAAGGAAGUGACAAAGUUGAAGAGUUAAUCAAAAUUGUGAAAAAAGCAUGGGGAAGUGAUUACAUGUUAUUAAGGCAUAAUUCUGUUGAAAUGAAAGUUGAUGAGAGUUUAUCAAAAUAUGAUGUUAAAGAUGGUUCAAUUAUCAGAGUCAAUGUCUUUGCUGAAGCUCCUUGAUAAAAAAAAUAAUAAUUAUAUUUUGUAAGUGAUACGUAUUUAUUAUCUGUUUUAAUUUGUGAGAUGUGAAUAAUAGAUGUUAUUACGUGUGAGUACAAUCAGUUGAAUUUGUUGUUUUUAGCUUGAUA